AAUCAAGGCCCACGUGACCGUGUGCCAGGAUAAACCCUAGCCCCCUCCAUCCGCAGCCUCCCCCGUCGCCGUCGCCGUCGCUUUCUGCUGGCUCCCGGUUCGCUCCCCGCCCUGAGGCUGGUGCGGCUCCCUGCCUCGCGCGCCGUCCUCAGGAAAAUGUCAUCAAAUACUGAUGGAGCCAAGAGUCAUGCACGUAGAGACCUUUUGCUCAAGAUCCAAUCAGAAGCUCAAACAUGUUGGGAGGAGAGCAAGGUUUUUGAGGCUGAACCUGGCAAUGGACUUCCUGGCCCUGGUGAAAAAUUCUUUGGCAAUUUUCCAUACCCUUACAUGAAUGGAUUGCUACAUUUGGGUCACGCCUUCUCAUUGUCCAAGCUUGAGUUCGGUGCUGCAUACCACAGACUCCGCGGCUCAAAUGUCCUUUUGCCGUUUGGUUUUCAUUGUACUGGGAUGCCCAUCAAGGCCUCAGCUGAUAAGCUUGCUAGGGAGAUUCAACAGUAUGGAAAUCCUCCAGUGUUUCCUGCUGCAGAGGAUGAUUCAAGUGCUGAAGUGGCAGAUGAUAGCCAGGCUGACCAGGCUGCUGCUGUUGCCCCGGAUAAAUUUAAGAGUAAGAAAUCUAAGGCUGCUGCAAAGACUGGCAUGCAGAAGUUCCAGUGGGAGAUCAUGAGGGGCUUUGGUCUGUCGAAUGAAGAAAUUGCCAAAUUUCAGGAUCCGUCUCACUGGUUAACCUACUUCCCUCCGCUGGCAAAGGAAGAUCUUAAGGCUUUUGGUCUGGGUUGUGAUUGGAGGCGCUCAUUCAUAACCACUGAUAUGAAUCCUUUCUAUGAUGCUUUUGUUCGCUGGCAGAUGAGAAAGCUGAAGAAAAUGGGCAAAGUUGUUAAGGAUAUGAGGUACACGAUCUACUCUCCAUUGGAUGGCCAACCUUGUGCUGAUCAUGAUAGGGCAUCAGGUGAAGGUGUGCAGCCACAAGAAUAUGUGUUGAUUAAAAUGAUGGUGAUCCCACCUUUUCCUCCCAAGUUGAAGGCCUUGGAAGGAAAGAAUGUUUAUCUGGCAGCUGCUACAUUAAGACCUGAGACAAUGUAUGGGCAAACAAACUGUUGGGUCUUGCCUGAUGGAAAUUAUGGGGCUUUUGAGAUCAAUGAAACUGAUGUCUUCAUCGUGACAGCAAGGUCAGCGCUUAAUCUUGCGUAUCAGCAUCUAUCCAGGGUCCCGGAAAAGCCUACCUGCUUAGCUGAGCUUACUGGCAAUGAUUUGAUUGGGUUGCCAUUGAAGUCUCCUCUUUCAUUCAAUGAUAUCAUAUAUGCACUUCCCAUGCUCACUAUCUUGACAGAUAAAGGUACUGGCAUUGUGACUAGUGUGCCAAGUGAUUCGCCAGAUGAUUACAUGGCACUGCAAGAUUUAAUCACAAAGCCUGCUUUGAGACAGAAGUAUGGGGUCCAAGAUGAGUGGGUUCUUCCAUUUAAUAUCAUACCAAUAAUCAACAUACCUGAGUUUGGGGAUAAGUCAGCUGAGAAGGUGUGCCUUGAUCUUAAGAUUAAGAGCCAGAAUGACAAGGAGAAGCUUGCUGAAGCAAAAAGGAUGACAUACCUUAAAGGAUUUACAGACGGAGUGAUGAUUGCAGGGGAGUUUAAUGGUAGAAAGGUUCAAGAAGCGAAGCCACUGAUAAAGAACAAGCUUCUUGGAGAAGGCUCUGCUGUGUUGUAUAGUGAGCCUGAGAAGAAAGUUAUGUCAAGGUCCGGUGAUGAGUGCGUCGUUGCUCUUACAGAUCAGUGGUAUAUAACUUAUGGAGAAGCUGAAUGGAAGCAGAGGGCAGUCAAAUGUUUGGAAAAUAUGAAUACAUUCUCAGCUGAAACCCGUAAUGGAUUUGAACACACGUUGGGCUGGCUGAACCAGUGGGCAUGUUCACGCUCUUUUGGCCUAGGUACUCGCAUUCCAUGGGAUGAGCAGUUCCUGGUAGAAUCUCUCUCAGAUUCAACCCUGUACAUGGCUUAUUACACCAUUGCCCAUCAUCUACAAAAUGGUAACAUGUAUGGACAAGGAAUAUCUUCUAUCAAGCCUGAAGAAAUGACAGAUGAAGUAUGGGAAUAUGUGUUCUCUGAUGGUCCGGCACCCAAUAGCAACAUCUCUCCUGCCCUCUUGAGCAAAAUGAAGCAAGAGUUUAAGUAUUGGUACCCCUUUGAUAUUCGGGUAUCUGGCAAGGACCUUAUCCAGAACCAUCUGACAUUCAGCAUCUACAAUCAUACAGCACUUCUUCCAGAGCAUCAUUGGCCUCGUGGUUUUCGUUGCAAUGGGCAUCUUAUGCUUAACUCUGAGAAGAUGUCCAAGUCCACAGGGAACUUCCUAACUCUUCGGGAGGCUAUUGAGGAUUUCUCUUCAGAUGCCACUAGGUUUGCCCUUGCUGAUGCUGGCGAUGGUAUGGACGAUGCAAACUUUGUUUUUGAAACUGCAAAUGCUGCUAUUUUGAGGCUUACAAAGGAAAUCGCUUGGAUGGAAGAAGUUAUAGCUGCUGAAUCUUCUCUGAGAGGCGGUCCUCCUUCUACAUAUGCUGACCAUGUGUUUGCUAAUGAGAUCAACAUUGCUGUAAAAGAAACUGAGAAGAGCUACAACGCCUUCAUGUUCAGAGAUGCCCUGAAGUCUGGUUUCUAUGACCUGCAAUUGGCUAGAGAUGAGUACAGACUCUCUUGUGGAGCGGCGGGCAUGAACCGUGAGUUGUUGGGGCGGUUUAUGGAAGUCCAGACCAGGCUUAUCACCCCGAUCUGUCCCCACUAUGCUGAGCAUGUGUGGCAAAAGAUCCUGAAGAAGGAAGGUUUUGCAAUAAAAGCUGGCUGGCCAGUUGCAGGCACCCCGGAUCCUACACUAAGAAGUGCGAACAAAUAUUUACAGGACUCCAUUGUUUUAAUGAGGAAGUUGCUUCAGAAGCAAGAGUCUGGUUCCAAGAAACCCAAGAAGGGAGCUGCACCUCCUCCCUCAGCAGAAAACAAGCUCACUGUUGGUCUGAUAUUCGUCAACGAGCACUAUGAUGGAUGGAAAGAGCAAUGUUUAAGGGUGCUUCAGUCAAAUUUUGAUAGCCAAGCACGCUCCUUUGCCCCUGACGAGGAGAUUAACGAAGCAUUGAGGAACUGCUUCAUCGAUCGUGAAACAAACUUCAAACAAGUCCAGAAGCUCUGCAUGCCUUUCAUCAGGUUCAAGAAAGAUGAAGCACGGAACGUUGGUCCCCAGGCUCUAAAUUUGAAGCUUCCUUUUGGUGAAAUGAAUGUGCUUGAAGAGAACCUGGAGCUGAUCAGAAGGCAGUUGGGUCUUGAGCAUGUUGAGGUCCUGCCGGUAUUUGAUGGAGCUGCACGUGCCAAAGCUGGAAAGCAUGCUUCUGUGUUGGACAAGAAUCCGCCUUCCCCUGGUGAGCCAGUUGCAAUAUUCAUGAGCAAGCAGGAGUUUGAAGCCCAGAAUUAAGCUCAGAUUAAUCUUCUCACAGAACUUUGUUGAGGAUUGCCUGUUGAUAGACGGGGAGCUGCAACUUCGAAAAUCAGCAGACCAGUUCCAUGCUCCAGCACCGGUUCUUCUGCACAAGGAAUGACCAAAGUUCAGGUGAAACUCACCUAUUUUGGGACUUCCCUCUCCGUUGGUGAUCAAACUAAACGCCUGAAUUGCUGAUUGCAAUCAUGAGUCAUGAAAAAUGGAGUACUGUUGAGGCAUCAGUUUAGCUAUAAUAGAGUACAUUUUUGCAUUGUGUUAUGACAUAGUUAAAUUGUCGUGAAUAUUAUCAUUUUGUUCAGCAAUUUAAGUAUCUUAUUCUUUUGUUCUUCAGUACUUGUGUAUGCAUCACUUUUCAGUGUAUCAUUCUGGAUAGUUUACCUCUGUUGCAGUUUUCAAACC
rnacentral:rRNA from 1 species